GUUUAAGGCAGAGGAGCCACCUUCAGCUCAGACGCAAGACAGGUGAAUGCCUUCAUCAUGACUGCCAGAGAGGGAGGAGGCCAACCUGGCACCACCAUGGAGGUCCUCAAAUCUACCACCCUGGCAGAGGCAAGCUGUGAGAUGGCCCUGGCUUUGGUGGGACCACCUUUUGAAGGUCGUCUGGAACUGGAUGAGAAGUGCUCAUGGAUAUAAGAUGGCUGUCUUCUCCCUGUCUCCUCACACGGUCUUCCUUCUGCACACGUCUGUGUGGGUGCCAAAGCGGGAGGAAAAUGUUGAAAGGAAGACCAAGAUGAGGCGACAGCCUUAAGAGAUGAAGUAAUUUGAUCAAGGUGUAGAUAAAACGGUGGAGCCAAUAUUCGAACACACGUCUGUCUAAAGGUAAGCCCCUGGCUUUCACCCUUCACUCUUUUACCUCCCGUAUGUCCUAAAACAUUGUCCCUUUAUUUCCUGUAUGAGCUGAGCACCUGGAAUCUCAUACCUCAGUGCUACUUUAACCCCUGGUCACCAACACAGCAUUGACAAGAUAGUUCUAUGGACUUGUCACAGAGCUCUGGAAAACAAAUCUCUUUUGAUAAAUAAGUUUUAAACAUAAAGUUUUAAAUUAGAAAAUUAAAUGUUUUAAGCCUCUACAGGGAUUCCAAUUGUUCCUAAGGUUGUAUUGACUGCUCAAAGGAACCUGUUACAAUAUUUCCAAAAUAUCACAGAAGAGAUUACAAUAAAAAGCUGCAGUAGUACUUCCCAGCUUUUCUUCUUGACAGCGGCCAUGUAUGAAAAGCAGGUCCCCCUGAUCUGCCUGGGCAGUUUCAUUCCUGCAGAGCUGGGAUGAAUGACAAAUUCAAAGCCUCUCUUUACACGUGGAUUUGAACAAGAAAUCUCCAGGAAGCAGAUUUGGAGAGAUGGGAUCCAGACACCUCCUAAGCCUCUGGUUUUCAAAUUUGUCUGCAUGUUGGAAUCACCUGGCCAUCUUUAUAAAACUGCUGAUGCCUGUAUGUGCCCCCUCCCAUGAUUCUGAUUUCAUUGGCUCAGGGUGAAGCCUCAGCAUCAUAAUUUUUUUUUCUUUCUUUCUUUUUUUUUUUUUUUUUUUUUU